AGCCCCGUGGUGGAAAAAAGCACGUUGGAUUGCAAAUCCAGAGAUGCAGACUAAUACCCUGCCGGGGCUU
rnacentral:tRNA from 1 species